CAUAAACUUAUAUAGCAAAUAUCGGGAUUGUCAUUUUUCGCGGAACUUUCACUUUCCGCGAAAAACCAAUGCCAGCAUGGCCAUAAAACACUACAUACAAAUCGAAAUCUAAAAAGCGCGGAACUUUCAUAUAUUUUCCGUCGGAGCAAUUAUUUUUCAACCCUGUAGAAAAAGCGGGCUCAAUUAAUCGCGCGGAACGUUAUUUAUCUACUCUGUACAAAUAGUAGUGUUUAAAAUCGCGCGGAGAUUGUAGAAUGCUAUUUUAAGAAGUCUAUUAAAGAGAGAAAAUCCAGUAAAUACCAGAUCCAAAAAGCGCGGAACACAAAUAUCGUCCGCGAAAAUUAAGCAUUGAAUUACUGUACAAAUCUCGGGUUGUUAGGUGUUAGAAUCCCUAGUUACCCGAAAAAUUUGAUUGGAUCCGAUACUUAGAAAUAACCAAUCAGAUACUUUGUAACAAAUGCAACACAAUCAGUGCGUUCAGUAAGUAUAACGUUUCAAGAUGGCGGAGCGAAUUGCAUGGUUAUUGUUUCUACUCGAUGGAUUCGCAGAUAAUUCGGAAAUAGAUCAGAUUGGGAUCAAUAACUGUAUUGCAUACGAUCAUUUACAUGUAUUACCAGGUGUGUGUUGCCAGUAAUGGUUGAAGAUAUGCCAAACAAAUUGUGCCUCUCUAUACAGACAGAUUUCAGGUCUCAAUUUCGACUUCAAAGGUCAACAUAUCACUGAUAUCAGGAAUUCUGUACAACUGUGGAACCAUGUAUGGUACGUGACCGCACAAUGUUGGUUGGCAAAAGGAUAUUGGAAUAAGCAAAGGGACUCAACAUUACACAGUCAUUUCAACAUGUAGAGUCUUGUCAGCAAUGAUGGAGCAGUACUUCAGAUUUCCAGAAUCUCGUCAUGAGCUGAAGAUCAUUGCCUAUGAAUUUCCUGAAUGAUGUAGAAUGAUUGGACUGUUGAUGGAACCCACAGUGCAUGUCCUGCUUCAACAUCUGAGCAUAGGUCCUUGUUUAUCAGCAGUUUAGUUCUUCAAGCAGUCUGUGACAGUUACUUGAAAUGUUUGGACAUAUGACCUGGAUGGCCAAGUUCUGUGCAUGAUGCCCAUUUAAAUAGGAACGGCCCAGUGGCGCAUUAAAUGGACAUUUUUCGAAUGUUCUCAAGGAUUCAGCUUACCGCCUGACAAGAAAUCUUGCUUUUUGUUCAGUAUCGAGGCCAUGGACAUUUGUAUCAUUUGCAAAAGAUACUGCGAUAUUUGUGCCUUUGUUCAUGCUUUAUAGUUGAUUAACAAUUGGAAGCCAUAACCUGUUUUUAAGAUGGUGUUAGUGGGACAAUGAAUUUUGUAAAGAUUUAAAGACUGGAAAAGAUAAUUAAAAGUCAAAAGAGUUCUGCUAUUGUUAAGCAUGCUUUAUUGAUUUGUAAUGUUAGAAAGAUAGCAUUAUUAACAGAAUAAAAUGUCCAUAAUUUGAA